UUGGAGGGCAAGUCUGGUGCCAGCAGCCGCGGUAAUUCCAGCUCCAAUAGCGUAUAUUAAAGUUGUUGCAGUUAAAAAGCUCGUAGUUGAACUUCGGGAUCAAUGGAUUGGUCAUGCCGUUGGUAUGUACUGGUCAUAUUGGUUCUCACCUUCUAAGGAACCAUAAUGUCAUUCAUUUGAUGUUUUGGGGAAUUAGGACUGUUACCUUGAAAAAAUUAGAGUGUUUAAAGCAGGCUAACGCUUGAAUACAUUAGCAUGGAAUAAUGAAAUAGGACAUCGCAUUCUAUUUUGUUGGUUUCUAGGAUCGAUGUAAUGAUUAAUAGGGAUAGUUGGGGGCAUUAGUAUUCAAUUGUCAGAGGUGAAAUUCUUGGAUUUAUUGAAGACUAACUACUGCGAAAGCAUUUGCCAAGGAUGUUUUCAUUGAUCAAGAACGAAAGUUAGGGGAUCGAAGACGAUCAGAUACCGUCGUAGUCUUAACCAUAAACUAUGCCGACUAGGGAUCGGAUGAUGUUGAUUUUUUAAUGACUCAUUCGGCGCCUUACGGGAAAC
rnacentral:rRNA from 1 species